GAACGAUAACGGCGUCGAGCGGCGGACGGGUGAGUAAUGCCUAGGAAAUUGCCCUGAUGUGGGGGAUAACCAUUGGAAACGAUGGCUAAUACCGCAUGAUGCCUACGGGCCAAAGAGGGGGACCUUCGGGCCUCUCGCGUCAGGAUAUGCCUAGGUGGGAUUAGCUAGUUGGUGAGGUAAGGGCUCACCAAGGCGACGAUCCCUAGCUGGUCUGAGAGGAUGAUCAGCCACACUGGAACUGAGACACGGUCCAGACUCCUACGGGAGGCAGCAGUGGGGAAUAUUGCACAAUGGGCGCAAGCCUGAUGCAGCCAUGCCGCGUGUGUGAAGAAGGCCUUCGGGUUGUAAAGCACUUUCAGUCGUGAGGAAGGUGGUGUAGUUAAUAGCUGCAUUAUUUGACGUUAGCGACAGAAGAAGCACCGGCUAACUCCGUGCCAGCAGCCGCGGUAAUACGGAGGGUGCGAGCGUUAAUCGGAAUUACUGGGCGUAAAGCGCAUGCAGGUGGUUUGUUAAGUCAGAUGUGAAAGCCCGGGGCUCAACCUCGGAAUAGCAUUUGAAACUGGCAGACUAGAGUACUGUAGAGGGGGGUAGAAUUUCAGGUGUAGCGGUGAAAUGCGUAGAGAUCUGAAGGAAUACCGGUGGCGAAGGCGGCCCCCUGGACAGAUACUGACACUCAGAUGCGAAAGCGUGGGGAGCAAACAGGAUUAGAUACCCUGGUAGUCCACGCCGUAAACGAUGUCUACUUGGAGGUUGUGGCCUUGAGCCGUGGCUUUCGGAGCUAACGCGUUAAGUAGACCGCCUGGGGAGUACGGUCGCAAGAUUAAAACUCAAAUGAAUUGACGGGGGCCCGCACAAGCGGUGGAGCAUGUGGUUUAAUUCGAUGCAACGCGAAGAACCUUACCUACUCUUGACAUCCAGAGAACUUUCCAGAGAUGGAUUGGUGCCUUCGGGAACUCUGAGACAGGUGCUGCAUGGCUGUCGUCAGCUCGUGUUGUGAAAUGUUGGGUUAAGUCCCGCAACGAGCGCAACCCUUAUCCUUGUUUGC
rnacentral:rRNA from 1 species